GCCUCGGUGGUGUAAUGGUGGAGCACGUGUUCCUAGAUAGGGCGAAACGCGAGUUUGAUUCCCGCUUGAGGCA